UACGUAGGGCGCAAGCGUUAUCCGGAAUUAUUGGGCGUAAAGAGCUCGUAGGCGGUUUGUCGCGUCUGCCGUGAAAGUCCGGGGCUCAACUCCGGAUCUGCGGUGGGUACGGGCAGACUAGAGUGAUGUAGGGGAGACUGGAAUUCCUGGUGUAGCGGUGAAAUGCGCAGAUAUCAGGAGGAACACCGAUGGCGAAGGCAGGUCUCUGGGCAUUAACUGACGCUGAGACACGAAAGCGUGGGGAGCAAACAGG
rnacentral:rRNA from 1 species